rnacentral:rRNA from 1 species
UACGUAGGAGACGCGCGUUGUCCGGAUUUACUGGGCGUAAAGGGUGCGCAGGUGGCGGCGCGCGUGGGGGGUGAAAUCGCCCGGCUUAACUGGGCGGGGGCCUUCCAGACGGCGUGGCUUGAGCAGCGGAGGGGGACGUGGAAUUCCGGGUGGAGCGGUGAAAUGCGUAGAGAUCCGGAGGAACACCGACGGCGCAGGCAGCGUCCUGGGGAGUACCUGACGCUCAGGUGCGAAAGCCAGGGGAGCGAACGGG